GAUGAACGCUAGCGACAGGCUUAACACAUGCAAGUCGAGGGGCAGCACGGGGGUAGCAAUACAACUGGUGGCGACCGGCGCACGGGUGAGUAACGCGUAUGCAACCUACCUAUCAGAGGGGAAUAACCCGGCGAAAGUCGGACUAAUACCGCAUAAAACAGGGGCACCGCAUGGUGAUAUUUGUUAAAGAAAUUCGCUGAUAGAUGGGCAUGCGUUCCAUUAGGUAGUUGGUGAGGUAACGGCUCACCAAGCCGACGAUGGAUAGGGGAACCGAGAGGUUGGUCCCCCACACUGGUACUGAGACACGGACCAGACUCCUACGGGAGGCAGCAGUGAGGAAUAUUGGUCAAUGGGCGAGAGCCUGAACCAGCCAAGUCGCGUGAAGGAAGAAGGAUCUAUGGUUCGUAAACUUCUUUUGCAGGGGAAUAAAGUGCAGGACGUGUCCUGUUUUGUAUGUACCCUGAGAAUAAGGAUCGGCUAACUCCGUGCCAGCCGCCGCAGUAA
rnacentral:rRNA from 1 species